rnacentral:misc_RNA from 1 species
CCGCUUGAUCGAGGUCAGGAUAAUUAAUAAAGCUUAUGAGAUAGUCCAAGACAGAGAGGAUGACGUUACGAGAGUUACCAAGCCACAUCGAACCCUAAGAGUCUAUGGUUGUUGACAUUCCAAUUAGUAGGAACCAAUACACUGACCUGUAAGCAUAGUAGCAUAAUUAAGCCACACUUACAAGGAAGCGUAGUGUUGUCAACACUAUUUCACAGUAAUGCUUAAUAAUUAAAGAAGAACCACUAGAGCUACCUCCGUAUUAAGCUAUCCGUUCAGACCGUGAUAAGCUUAACUGGAAAUCAUGUAGCCAUGGUAUGCUUCCCAAUCCGUGAACAAUUAAGCGUCACGAUAGGUUUAAGCCGACACUCGAUCAAACGUGGCUAAGGGCAAGCCCAAAGCCGCCAUUUGCGUUCGAGAUACCGAUGUUCGAAGCAGUCUGCGUUUCACAUUGUUUAACACAGUUUGCUGCACUCUUCAUCGAUACGUGAGCCGAGUGAUCCACCACAUGGAGUUAUACAAUUAUAAGCUUCUUCCUUAAGGCGCUUACCUAUACGUAGUACUGAGUUAACAGUUCAGGCAUAGAGUGUGGAAUUCAAGAAACCACUGUAGUAAAUACGUUUUGCCGAAGCAUAGUAACAACAAUAGCAUUAGAAUAAUUCCGAUAGUCAGACCGUACCUUACCAGUCGUUACAAUUAUGGAAAGGAAGACUACCAGACAAGCUAAUGCUACUAGCUGACAUUACGGAUAAGCUGACAUCAGAGUCAGACCGAUCACCUAACAGUACUGAACGCUAUAUUUUCAGAACUAGUGACCAGUCACUUAUACGUAACCAUACAUGGCCAUUACAGCCUCUGAGCAAGGAUUACUCCUCACUCUUACAAUAAACAAAGGAUAUAUGGUAU